rnacentral:lncRNA from 10 species
CUAGGAGAGGGCUGGGUCCUUAGGGUCUCACAGGGUCAAAAUGGAGGCAGAUGCUGGAUGGCGCGCUUAUCUGGACGUCCUUGAGAAGAAGAAUCAGCUUUCGACCUCCUUCAGGCUGUUGACAGAAUUCAGAUCCUGUGGCUGGUGAGGACGGAGGACCCCUUCCUUGCUGGCUGUCAGGAUGCAGGUUCCCAGGUACUGCUACAAGGCUGAUGGAGAAAGGGAUGGCAACAGGAGCGUCAGACAAAGAAGCUCAUUCUAUAGACCCAGCAGGGCCAGCACUGACCAACAGAUGCACCAUCACCUCGGGAGGCAGGUUCAUUCUCUCUCUAGACAGGCUCGAGAAUGGAGACAGAAAAUGGAGGUAACUUGCCCAAGGCCACUCUGUAGACCAGGCAAUUUGAAAGGAAGAGAGGAUUUAGGCGCCAUACUCAAGGUUACCUGGGUAAGAAAUGAUGGAGCAAGAAUGUCACCCAUGGGACCACACCCCUGAAUCUAUAAAUUGGAGUGUUUCUGCAAAUUCUAAGAGGUUCUUAACAUUAUCCAGAAUGGUGCCCUGGUGGACGAUCAUGCACCUUGCUGGCGAGGCGCUUUCUUCAGGGUCUUCAUCAUUAUAGUGUCUCUGAAAUUACAAAGUAAGGGAAAUAAAGACAAAGGUCUGAUUGGAAGCUGCAAAUACAAUGGGUGUAGCCAAUAUGGUCAUGAGGUGCCGCACAGCCCAAAGAGCCUCACUGUGACAACACCACCAACCAAAUUUGGCUCCUGCAGAAAUCUUUGUGAAUGUUAUUUCAGACUUAAGGGAGUGAUGUGAAAUCUCAGGCUAGAGUGGAUGCUGACUGAUGAGUUAUUUCACCUUGCAACAUCAAAGAAUCAGAAAAUUCCAGAGCAAACUCAUUCUAGAAGACAAGAUUAAUAGAUUGCUGGCCAAGACUCUGCUCUCCUCUCCAUGUUCCCUUUCCUUUUUACUUUAGUUGCUCAGGUAAAAAUAUGUGUUUAGAUGAAAGAAAUAAGCAUUUCUUAAAAGUGGUGCUUUGAACAGUGAAUGAUCAAUGAUCUUACCUGAAUGGCUGCGGCAGCUGGCUGAGGGACAUUGACUAUAUUUACAUGUAACGCUACAGGGUAUGGAACAUGACUGGAGACCUAGAUGCAAAAGACAAAACAAAGGCCACGUCAUUCAGGGCUACAUAUGCUUCAGGGGACUUGGCUUCCUGAGGUUUCGUUCUGGGACUGAGAGAAAAAAAACACUUUACUGAUAAAAUACACUAAACAAAUUUUUAAAACCUUUUAAUGUGAAAUUUAGCCAGGCCUUUAAAAUGGCUAAACAGCUAAAGGAACAUGGUGAAAAAUCCUUGGGAGGUGUUGAUGAGCACUUUAAAUUUUGGGAAGUGUUCCUUAAUUAGAG